rnacentral:rRNA from 1 species
GUCUACGGACAUGCCUCCCUGAACAAGCCCGAUGUCUGAUCUUGGAAGCUAAGCAGGGUCAGGCCUGGUUAGUAUAGUAUUUGGAAGGGAGACCACCUAGGAAGACCAGGUGCUGUAGGCU